UGGGGAAUAUUGCACAAUGGGCGCAAGCCUGAUGCAGCCAUGCCGCGCGUAUGAAGAAGGCCUUCGGGUUGUAAAGUACUUUCAGUCGGGAGGAAGGUGGUAAGGUUAAUAACCUUAUCAAUUGACGUUACCGACAGAAGAAGCACCGGCUAACUCCGUGCCAGCAGCCGCGGUAAUACGGAGGGUGCAAGCGUUAAUCGGAAUUACUGGGCGUAAAGCGCACGCAGGCGGUUGAUUGAGUCAGAUGUGAAAUCCCCGGGCUUAACCCGGGAAUUGCAUCUGAUACUGGUCAGCUAGAGUCUUGUAGAGGGGGGUAGAAUUCCAUGUGUAGCGGUGAAAUGCGUAGAGAUGUGGAGGAAUACCGGUGGCGAAGGCGGCCCCCUGGACAAAGACUGACGCUCAGGUGCGAAAGCGUGGGGAGCAAACAGG
rnacentral:rRNA from 1 species